rnacentral:rRNA from 1 species
AGCUCCAAUAGCGUAUAUUAAAGUUGUUGCAGUUAAAAAGCUCGUAGUUGGAUUUGUGGCUGUCUCCGGCGGCCCGUCACUUAGUGUCGGUGUUUGCUGGAGUCGCCAUCCUUGGGUGGAGCCCGUGUGGCAUUAGGUUGUCGUGCGGGGGAUGCCCAUCGUUUACUGUGAGAAAAUUAGAGUGUUCAAAGCAGGCUUAUGCCGUUGAAUAUGUUAGCAUGGAAUAAUAAGAUAGGACCUCGGUACUAUUUUGUUGGUUUGCGCACCGAGGUAAUGAUUAAUAGGGACAGUUGGGGGUAUUCGUAUUUCAUUGUCAGAGGUGAAAUUCUUGGAUUUCUGAAAGACGAACUACUGCGAAAGCAUUUACCAAGGAUGUUUUCAUUAAUCAAGAACGAAAGUA